AUUGAACGCUGGCGGCAUGCUUUACACAUGCAAGUCGAACGGUAACAGGCCGCAAGGUGCUGACGAGUGGCGAACGGGUGAGUAAUGCAUCGGAACGUGCCCAGUCGUGGGGGAUAACGCAGCGAAAGCUGCGCUAAUCCCGCAUACGAUCUAUGGAUGAAAGCGGGGGACCGUAAGGCCUCGCGCGAUUGGAGCGGCCGAUGUCAGAUUAGGUAGUUGGUGGGGUAAAGGCUCACCAAGCCAACGAUCUGUAGCUGGUCUGAGAGGACGACCAGCCACACUGGGACUGAGAAACGGCCCAGACUCCUACGGGAGGCAGCAGUAGGGAAUUUUGGACAAUGGGCGCAAGCCUGAUCCAGCAAUGCCGCGUGCAGGAAGAAGGCCUUCGGGUUGUAAACUGCUUUUGUACGGAACGAAACGGCUCUGGUUAAUACCUGGGGCUAAUGACGGUACCGUAAGAAUAAGCACCGGCUAACUACGUGCCAGCCGCCGCAGUAAAAC
rnacentral:rRNA from 1 species